UACAGAGGGGGCAAGCGUUGUUCGGAAUUACUGGGCGUAAAGGGCGCGUAGGCGGCCAACUAAGUCAGACGUGAAAUCCCUCGGCUUAACCGGGGAACUGCGUCUGAUACUGGAUGGCUUGAGUCGGGAGAGGGAUGCGGAAUUCCAGGUGUAGCGGUGAAAUGCGUAGAUAUCUGGAGGAACACCGGUGGCGAAGGCGG
rnacentral:rRNA from 1 species